rnacentral:rRNA from 1 species
GAUGAACGCUAGCGGGAGGCCUAACACAUGCAAGCCGAGCGGUAUUGUUUCUUCGGAAAUGAGAGAGCGGCGUACGGGUGCGUAACACGUGUGCAACCUGCCUUUAUCUGGGGGAUAGCCUUUCGAAAGGAAGAUUAAUACUCCAUAAUAUAUUGAACGGCAUCGUUUAAUAUUGAAAGCUCCGGCGGAUAGAGAUGGGCACGCGCAAGAUUAGCUAGUUGGUGAGGUAACGGCUCACCAAGGCGAUGAUCUUUAGGGGGCCUGAGAGGGUGAUCCCCCACACUGGUACUGAGACACGGACCAGACUCCUACGGGAGGCAGCAGUGAGGAAUAUUGGUCAAUGGGUGCAAGCCUGAACCAGCCAUCCCGCGUGAAGGACGACUGCCUAUGGGUUGUAAACUUCCUUUGUAUAGGGAUAAACCUACCCUCGUGAGGGUAGCUGAAGGUACUGUACGAAUAAGCACCGGCUAACUCCGUGCCAGCCGCCGCCGUAA